rnacentral:rRNA from 1 species
GAUGAACGCUGGCGGCGUGCCUAAUACAUGCAAGUCGAGCGAACAGACGAGGAGCUUGCUCCUCUGACGUUAGCGGCGGACGGGUGAGUAACACGUGGAUAACCUACCUAUAAGACUGGGAUAACUUCGGGAAACCGGAGCUAAUACCGGAUAAUAUAUUGAACCGCAUGGUUCAAUAGUGAAAGACGGUUUUGCUGUCACUUAUAGAUGGAUCCGCGCCGCAUUAGCUAGUUGGUAAGGUAACGGCUUACCAAGGCAACGAUGCGUAGCCGACCUGAGAGGAUGAUCGGCCACACUGGAACUGAGACACGGUCCAGACUCCUACGGGAGGCAGCAGUAGGGAAUCUUCCGCAAUGGGCGAAAGCUUGACGGAGCAACGCCGCGUGAGUGAUGAAGGUCUUCGGAUCGUAAAGCACUGUUAUUAGGAAAGAACAAAUGUGUAAGUAACUAUGCGCGUCUUGACGGUACCUGAUCAGAAAGCCACGGCUAACUACGUG